GAUGAACGCUGGCGGCGUGCCUAAUACAUGCAAGUCGAGCGAACAGACGAGGAGCUUGCUCCUCUGACGUAGGCGCGGGCCGGUGGGUUAAACGUGGGAUAACUACCUAUUAAGCCGGGGUAAAUUUCGGAAACCGGCUGUAAUUACGGAUAAAUAAUUGAAACGGAUGGAUCCAUAGGUGAAGACGGUUUUGCUGUCUCUUAUUAGUGGAUCCGCGCCGCAUUAGCUAGUUGGUAAGGUAACGGCUUACCAAGGCGACGAUGCGUAGCCGACCUGAGAGGGUGAUCGGCCACACUGGAACUGAGACACGGUCCAGACUCCUACGGGAGGCAGCAGUAGGGAAUCUUCCGCAAUGGGCGAAAGCCUGACGGAGCAACGCCGCGUGAGUGAUGAAGGUCUUCGGAUCGUAAAACUCUGUUAUUAGGGAAGAACAAAUGUGUAAGUAACUAUGCACGUCUUGACGGUACCUAAUCAGAAAGCCACGGCUAACUACGUG
rnacentral:rRNA from 1 species